GUCCCUUACCCCCUCCCUCUCUUCUGACUCUUCCCCACCUUACCUUCUAGUUCUUCCCCUGGGGCUCGACUACGGAGACAUUAGCAAUGGACUGGGGUCUCUGGUUCCUCAUCUGUAAAAUGGGGUUAGCGACAGCUACGUUAUGGUGUCUGAGGAUCAAAGAGAGGCUCAUAGACAGAGGCUGUUACCAGAUGAGUUUGCCUUGAGGACACAGAUGAAAGCGGCCGUUGGAGGAGGUUCAGGACAGACUGAGGAUUCCUCAGGCCUCUCUGAGCCCUGCCCCCGCCUGCCCCCAGCUCGCCCUUGAACCCACAGGUUGUGCGCUGGCCUAGAGCGCUCCGGAGCCCAGGAGGUCUUACAGCCAUCAGAGAGAAGCAAAGUCAAGGCCCGCACGCGGCGAGGGGCAGGGUGCCGAGAAGAGGUCGGAGACUGAGAACACAGAGGCAAUACAGGGCCAGCCCCCCUCCUCCACUGAGAGCAACAAAUAAGAAAAUAAAUACCCUAAAAGCCAAGGUGGCCGCCCACGAUGACAGGAUGACACGGAACCGAGGCCGCUGUUUCCUGGAUGCCCAGCCUGUCAAGGAGGAGGAUGCGAAGAUCCAAGUGCGUCACAGGCGGUGGGGUGCCCUGCCCUUCGGAUGCAGCGGGCCUAGCGGUCUCACGCUCCGAGCUGCAGGAGCAGGUCCUGUGGCCCCUCUCUCCCCGCCUCCGCUCCGGCUCACGGGCACGAGAGGAAGCGAAUCUACCUUAACGCAGGAAAUCACAGUAAGGAAGGCUGGGAGGCAGGAGGGAGCCUCACUUCCAAGCCCGAUCUCCAGAAGGAGUGCUUGGAAUCCCCUCCCCCGCCCCAAGAACGCCCCCUCGGCCCCCAGCCUCCCUUGGCAGCCCACGCCUGCAUAAAGGGAGGUUUCCUCUGAAAUGAUCCUCAGGCCACCUGACCGAGGGGCUGACCCUCAGCAGCAUGCCGGCUCCCUAGAAAAUGGACGCAGACACAGCUGGGGACCUCUGGCUCCUUCCGCCCUCAUCAGAGAGAGUUGUGGGGUCCCUGGGGGUGCCUCUCCCUGCUGAGGCCCCUGUCCCCAAACAUACACACGACAGUGACCACAAGGUGUGGCCUGGGAGGCACGGGACGUGUGUGUGUGUCUGAUGAGCCGCGGUCUCAGCCUCCCCCACAAAUCUGGCCUCUGGGGGACCAGAAAGAGUCUGGGGGCCUCCAGCCCCCACUGCCCCACGGUGGCCCCCCGAGCCCGUCUCCCAGGAUGCCCCAUGUGGGCAGGGACAGGAGUGCGACUUGUGUCUUCCCUCUACAUCCCCUGGGCCUUCUUGAAAAAAGCAAGAAAUUAAGGACAGCGUCCAAUGGGACCAGGGAGGGUGCAGCGGGUCUCUUGACACCUCACUGCCUUUAAGCCCCCGCAACCCCUUCCCCCCUGCCCGCUAGGGGGGCAGGGAUGAAGGGGAAUUAAAUUAAUUUA